GAAACAGACGCUUUGUCACGGAAAACGUAUAAAAUAAUAGAUUUCCAUUUGCCCGUGUUUUCACUGAAUACUAUUCAAAAUGUAACAGACGUGGCAACAAUUGUCCUACUGUGUUUUUUUGUUGCAGCCCGGAGUGGUUUUGUGAGCACAUCCACACGGUGCACAAACAUAGCGCUCCGCUGCGGGUCGGCAGAGAUAGAGAUAGAGAUAGACGUGUGGGGAACAAUUAUACUGAAAACAGUCGCUUUGUUGUUUAUGUUGUGUACAUAUAUUUAGCAACAUAGGCUGCCUUGUUCUGCCUGUGGUUGUUGCUGUAUUCCGCGGUGUGUCUUUUCUCGGUUGAACUAGCAGGGGCAAUUGAUUGUAAACAUGAUUGAUUUACAGGGGUAAGCAGUAACGCAUGCUUGCUUGCAGGCCAGCCAAGAGGCAGACGAUGUGCUGAUCCUGCAGGAGAAGAAGCUGGUGUCCAGCCAGGGGAGGAAGUCCCUGCAGGUGGCAAAGAACUGCUUUGAUGGAGAUGUGGGCGUCUUCCCCUUGGAGUUCAACAAGACCUCCCUGACCUUCUCCACACCCAGGAGCAAGACCAAACUGCGCAAAGUCAAAGGGGACGCAGCAGAGACCCCCGAGAAACCAGUGAAACCAGUGAAGACACUGGCCAGUGCUGAGAGAAGCCCCGCAGAGGAGGGGCUGAAGAAGAAGCAGCAGGGAGUGGACCCUUUAAAAUCUCCACACAGGAGAGAGCUCUUAUCAUGUAGAGAGUGGACUGUUUAAAAUCUCCACACAGGAGAGAGCUCUUAUCAUGUAGGGAGUGGACUGUUUAAAAUCUCCACACAGGAGAGAGCUCUUAUCAUGAGGAAAUAGGGAGUGGACUGUUUAAAAUCUCCACACAGGAGAGAGCUCUUAUCAUGUAGGGAGUGGACUGUUUAAAAUCUCCACACAGGAGAGAGCUCUUAUCAUGUAGGGAGUGGACUGUUUAAAAUCUCCACACAGGAGAGAGCUCUUAUCUGAAUUGUUGUGGUGUGAUUGAUGAUGAACUUGGGCUCCUGCUGAUUGCCUAGCACACAGCAUCAGUCAAUAGAAGAAGUCAGAUGAUUCUAUACUGCCAGCGAGCUGCUGUUUGUAAUUGCAGGAGAAAACUAAGACUGACCUUUUAAGUUCCUUUUAUUUAUUUUUGAUUGGAUGGAAUUGUAAAAGCAAUGUGAGUGAGUGCCCUGAAUCAAGUGAAUGGAGAGUGGGACAGAAGGACGUGAUAUUAGAACCAUCACAUUGGCUGCUUUCAUGAUUUGUACAUUUUGAGAUGAGUUAAAGUCACGAUUGCAGUUCGUUAAUGCAAUCGCAACAUUGACAUCUUUGUUAUGCAUACGAGUCCAAAGGAAAUGGAUUAAGGGUAUCGAUGAGUGUUGACCACGACUCGCUCUUCUGUUACAGCAGCUGCUAAGCGUGACUCCUGGGUAUUGUCACUGCAUUGUGCAUCACAUUGUGUAGAGCUCUGUUGUGCUGUACUGGAAUGCAUUUUCAAAUCAGCAGCACAUUAGCAGUAGGGCAAUGUGUGUUUUACAGAAGCAGUACUGUGAAAAAAUUGUUUUACUGUAUAGCUCUCAUUUUUAUACCACUUAGCAUUUAUAUUAUCUUGUUGAAGAUAUUGUU